GCCAUUGUGGUGCAGUGGUUUGAGUAUUGGGCUGUGGCUCUGGAGGCCAGGGUUCAAUUCCCAGCUCAGCCA
rnacentral:tRNA from 1 species